UUCAUUUUGUUUCUUUUGACUGAACAGAAUGGAGAAGAGCAAUAUACAGAGGCACAGGAGGAGCAUAAUGGAGAGGAAGGAAGCUAGGAAGAGGCAGUUGUAGUGGAUGCCAAUUCCACAGAUGGUGCAGUACUCGUUAAUGGUAAUGAGGCUGAAGAAGAGUGGGGUACGAAUAAUGAAGGAGGCCCGUCAGCCUAAAAGCAAUUGGUUGGGGUGGUGUGAAAAUUGAAAUUUUGUCUCUGUGCUUGCGCCACGUCACUAGGUCCCAUCAAGACAGUCAGUUCCAGCUUCUGGGCUGUUUGUCUGAGAUGAGAUCUCUAAAGGUGGAUUCUCAAAUGAUUGUCUCCCUUCAAAUAAUUCUGCAUUCUGGUUCUCCAAGGCCACCUUUGAAAGAUUUGUGUGAUCUGUUAGCACAUCUGCAAUUCUGGAGAGGUUCGUCAGCCUUGAAAAAGAAAUCCUGCAGAUUGAAAGUUCAUUUCAAGCAAAUGCUUUGUCGAUGUCCAGUGCAUCUUCCGAUGAGGGAACUGCGCCACAAGCCAAUGGAAUUACAAGGAGGUUGACUAAUUCUGCAAAGGUAUUUAUCUCCCAACAUGAGGUUCAAGCUUUAGCUAAGGAGGUAGCUGAAACAGUGGUUUUGGGUCAUUGAUGAGGAAGGUGUGGAGUCACUCAUAUCAGAACUUGUGAAAGGUGUAAAUUAGCCAAGGUUGCUUUGGUCUUCACACAAGAACUGUUUUCUUGUUCUUUAAAUCACAAAUUAUGACUUUUUCUUUUCCUGCAUCU